CGCCCUUCAGAGGGGGGAAACAGUUGGAAACGACUGCUAAUACCGCAUACGAUCCGACCUCGGCAUCGAGGAUGGAUGAAAGGUGGCCUCUAUUUAUAAGCUAUCACUGAAGGAGGGGAUUGCGUCUGAUUAGCUAGUUGGAGGGGUAACGGCCCACCAAGGCAAUGAUCAGUAGCCGGUCUGAGAGGAUGAACGGCCACAUUGGGACUGAGACACGGCCCAG
rnacentral:rRNA from 1 species